CAUUAACCCUCGUUUCUAAAUUUUCUCGGCAAUGUUGGCGCGACCCCUUCUGUGGUUAGCUAAGCCACAUCGGUGAGCUUCUUCUUGGCCGGACUUCUCAGGAAGAAGAAGGCUAGAUCUUCAAUCUUAUCGGCUUCAAAGGCUGCCAGACCUCUUAUGGACGACAAAGAAGGCUGGAUCAUGGACGUCCGAUCAUCAAUCGUCUCUACUGAAGGUCUUUCUAUUCAUAUGCUGCUUUAUUUCUAAUUAGCUCAUAUCACUACCAUUUGAGCCAAUUCAACUAAGCGCAAAGAAGCAACAUAUACCUAUUAUAGGUUGUGAGAUUCUCAAAAUUGGGACAUUCUCUGAAUUUGAAUUCCUAUAAUCCUCUCUUUCAGUCGAGAUAAUCAUUAUGUCUUCACCUCCUAAAUGUUGUUGACAAUUUGAUUGUUGCCGAGCCACACCCACUACAACGCAAUCAUUUAAAAAGUGGACUAUAUAUGUACAUCGCCGAAAAAGAUAUGUCCACUCUAUGCUUUCGUGUCAAGCACUACGGUCAUAUAAUGAUUGUAAUUUUGGAAGGACUAUCAAAUUCCGACUACUGGACGUGUCUGAUGCACGUUUUCAUAUGAAAUAAACAAU